GGAAAAAACCGCUCGGAAGGAAUAUUUUUUUUUUUUUUUGGGUCAAUCGGAGAUCUGAGAAAAUUGAGCUGGAUCUUUCCGGCGAGACUUUUUCCGGUUGAUCCAAACGCCAGAGACCUAUACAUACAUCACAAUUAAUUAUAAAUAUAUCGAAGAUGAAUUUAUUCAGAUUAGCUGGGGACAUGACCCAUUUGGCCAGUGUUCUUGUUUUGCUCCUCAAGAUCCACACCAUCAAAUC
rnacentral:misc_RNA from 1 species